UGCAGCGGUGCUUGGUGGGGGCGGGGGCUGCAAUGUCACUCAUUUGGGAGUCAGGUGAGUAGGUCCCAGGCUCGGGCCGCCGCUUGCCUACAUCUUCCCGGUACUACCCAGGACUCAGGGGUGGAGGCGGACGGCAGGGGACUGCAGAACCGUCCCCAGAGCGGGACGCGAACCGGCAGACUUGGGAGAAGAGCCUCCGCGUCCGGGAGCUGAGCAUGCUGCCCCCGCGUGCAGAGCCCGCGUGCACCCAGCCCGGAGAGGGGGCGACAGGGCGGAGGCGGUGGCCCCCGGAAGGUGUCUGGGACCGGACCGGCUGCACGUGAGCCCAGCGCAGGGUCAUGUGCACCGGCUCAGCCCGGUUCGGCGCCCGGACGUGCUGCGUAUCAACAAAAUAAACUCGGGGAGACAGGAGGGCAGAUAGCCCCGGGUCCUCCGAACCCACGUACCCGGCCGCGCGACCUUCUCUCCGCACAGGUCUCCCGCCGCAGCCCCUCCGCCCUGCCAGAGCCCGCGGGGCAAGUUGCAGCCCCGGCGCGCCCCCGCCCGCCCGCGCCCCCUCCCCGGCCCGGGGGCGCUUUGCCGCAGUCAUUAAUAAAGAAGGUCGCCAAGCUCA